AAUCCAUGCUUACAACACCUUUGAAGUAACUCCUUGAAACUCUCCCAAGCUUCAUAUAUAUUCUCAUCUUCAAGUUGCUUGAAAGAGGUAAGGUCAUUCCUAAGCUU